rnacentral:rRNA from 1 species
UACAUGGAGUCCAAACGUUAUCCGGAUUUACUGGGCGUAAAGCGUUCGUAGGCGUCCUGCCAAGUCUUCGGUGAAAUCUCCGGGCUUAACUCGGAAACUGUCGAGGAAACUGGCUGGAUUGAGUGUGACAGAGGCAGAUGGAAUUCUUGGUGUAGAGGUAAAAUUCGUUGAUAUCAAGAAGAACACCAGUGGCGAAGGCGAUCUGCUGGGUCAUCACUGACGCUGAGGAACGAAAGCGUGGGUAGCGAAC